rnacentral:rRNA from 1 species
GACGAACGCUGGCGGCGUGCUUAACACAUGCAAGUCGAACGGAAAGGCCCUGCUUUUGUGGGGUGCUCGAGUGGCGAACGGGUGAGUAACACGUGAGUAACCUGCCCUUGACUUUGGGAUAACUUCAGGAAACUGGGGCUAAUACCGGAUAGGAGCUCCUGCUGCAUGGUGUGGGUUGGAAAGUUUCGGCGGUUGGGGAUGGACUCGCGGCUUAUCAGCUUGUUGGUGGGGUAGUGGCUUACCAAGGCUUUGACGGGUAGCCGGCCUGAGAGGGUUACCGGCCACAUUGGGACUAAGGUACGGCCCAGACUCCUACGGGAGGCAGCAGUGGGGAAUAUUGCAGAAUGGGCGGAAGCCUGAUGCAGCAACGCCGCGUGCGGGAUGACGGCCUUCGGGUUGUAAACCGCUUUCGCAGGUGACGAAGCGUGAGUGACGGUAAUGGGUAAAAAAGCACCGGCUAACUACGUG